GCAUCGGUGGUUUAGUGGUAAAAUUAACCGUUGCCAUUCUUUGACAGUCGGUUAGCCCCGAGUUCGAUUCUCGGCCGAUGCA